CUGAGUCUUAGAAAUGGUGGGGAUUCACUAUGUGAAGAACUGUACACGAAGCAUCUUCAAUGGCACUGUUCAAAGAAGACUUGGCCAGUUCACAUGAGUUCAACUGGUUCCUCUGCUCUGGAUCCCUGAAGGCCAGCCCAAGCAUUCAUCUGAAGCUCUCACCUGAAGCUCCCUGAAUUAGAAGGAGAACCUGCCUCCAGACUCGCCCAGGCACCUAGGUCAAGAAUGGACGAGGCAGCUUCCCAGUGAGCGAACGCAUUUGAGGACUACUGGGCAGUGCUGAGGACCC